UACGUAGGGUCCGAGCGUUGUCCGGAAUUACUGGGCGUAAAGAGCUCGUAGGUGGUUUGUCGCGUUGUUCGUGAAAACUCACAGCUCAACUGUGGGCGUGCGGGCGAUACGGGCAGACUAGAGUACUGCAGGGGAGACUGGAAUUCCUGGUGUAGCGGUGGAAUGCGCAGAUAUCAGGAGGAACACCGGUGGCGAAGGCGGGUCUCUGGGCAGUAACUGACGCUGGAGGAGCGAAAGCGUGGGGGGCGAACAGG
rnacentral:rRNA from 1 species